GACGAACGCUGGCGGCGUGCUUAACACAUGCAAGUCGAACGAUGAAGCUGGAGCUUGCUCCGGUGGAUUAGUGGCGAACGGGUGAGUAACACGUGAGCAAUCUGCCCUUGACUCUGGGAUAACUGCGGGAAACUAUAGCUAAUACCGGAUACUUUCACUGGAAGGCAUCUUCUGGUGAAGAAAGAAUUUCGGUCAAGGAUGAGCUCGCGGCCUGUCAGCUUGUUGGUGAGGUAACGGCUCACCAAGGCGACGACGGGUAGCCGGCCUGGGAGGAUGAACGGCCACAAUGGGACUGAGGCACGGCCCAGACUCCUACGGGAGGCAACAGUGGGGAAUAUUGCACAAUGGGCGCAAGCCUGAUGCAGCAACGCCGCGUGAGUGAUGAAGGCCUUCGGGUUGUAAACCUCUUUUAGCAGGGAAGAAGCGAAAGUGACGGUACCUGCAGAAAAAGCACCGGCUAACUACGUGCCAGCCGCCGCAGUAA
rnacentral:rRNA from 1 species